rnacentral:misc_RNA from 1 species
UGAAGAGCUAUCCAAAAAGCAGGCUGCCCAAGAAUCAACUAUUAGGAAACUAAGAGCACAGGUCAGGGAAUUUGAAGAAGAAAAACAAAGGCUUAACUCAAGACUUCAGGUUGAGGAGGCAAAAGUAGAGAGUAUUAAGAAAGACAAGGCUGCGACAGAGAAGUUGCUGCAAGAAACAAUAGAGAGGAAUCAAGCAGAUUUUG